rnacentral:tRNA from 1 species
GCCGAGGUGAUGGAAUGGUAGACAUACGGGUCUCAAAAACCCGCGCCGGCAACGGCAUGAGAGUUCGAAUCUCUCCCCCGGCA